rnacentral:rRNA from 1 species
UAGGCGUAAAUGAUGCGAGUUAAGUGUGGGGGCGAUCUACGAGAUGGCCCUGUGCUGUAGGGUAGCCGUUAAACUCGCUGCCUGGGGAGUACGGUCGCAAGGCUGAAACUUAAAGGAAUUGGCGGGGGAGGCACCACAAGAGGUGGAGGCUGCGGUUCAAUUGGAUUCAACGCCGGACAACUCACCAGGAGCGACGGUUACAUGAAGGCCAGGCUGAUGACCUUGCCUGAUUUUUCCGAGAGGUGGUGCAUGGCGUAGUCGUGU